CCUACGGGGGGCAGCAGUGGGGGAUAUUGCACAAUGGGGGGAACCCUGAUGCAGCGACGCCGCGUGAGUGAAGGAGUACUCCGGUAUGUAAAGCUCUAUCAGCAGGGAAGAAGCAAGACGGUACCUGACCAAGAAGCCCCGGCUAACUACGUGCCAGCAGCCGCGGUAAUACGUAGGGGGCGAGCGUUAUCCGGAUUCACUGGGUGUAAAGGGAGCGUAGACGGCCGAUCAAGUCUGGAGUGAAAGCCCGGGGCCCAACCCCGGGACUGCUCUGGAAACUGGUGGGCUAGAGUGCUGGAGCGGUA
rnacentral:rRNA from 1 species